UACAGAGGGUGCAAGCGUUGUUCGGAAUUAUUGGGCGUAAAGCGCGUGUAGGCGGCUUUGCAAGUCGGGUGUGAAAGCCCUCAGCUCAACUGAGGAAGUGCGCCCGAAACUGCAGAGCUUGAGUGCCGGAGAGGGUGGCGGAAUUCCCCAAGUAGAGGUGAAAUUCGUAGAUAUGGGGAGGAACACCGGUGGCGAAGGCGGCAUCCUGGACCAACAUUGACGCUGAGGAGCGAAAGCCAGGGGAGCAAACGGG
rnacentral:rRNA from 1 species